AUUGAACGCUGGCGGCAUGCCUUACACAUGCAAGUCGAACGGCAGCACGGGAGCAAUCCUGGUGGCGAGUGGCGAACGGGUGAGUAAUAUAUCGGAACGUGCACAGUAGUGGGGGAUAGCCCGGCGAAAGCCGGAUUAAUACCGCAUACGACCUACGGGUGAAAGCGGGGGAUCGCAAGACCUCGCGCUAUUGGAGCGGCCGAUAUCAGAUUAGCUGGUUGGUGGGGUAAAGACCUACCAAGGCGACGAUCUGUAGCUGGUCUGAGAGGACGACCAGCCACACUGGGACUGAGACACGGCCCAGACUCCUACGGGAGGCAGCAGUGGGGAAUUUUGGACAAUGGGCGCAAGCCUGAUCCAGCCAUGCCGCGUGUGGGAAGAAGGCCUUCGGGUUGUAAACCACUUUUGUCAGGGAAGAAACGGCUCUUACUAAUAUUAGGAGCUAAUGACGGUACCUGAAGAAUAAGCACCGGCUAACUACGUGCCAGCCGCCGCAGUAAAAC
rnacentral:rRNA from 1 species